rnacentral:rRNA from 1 species
GUACACUCCACGGGAGGCAGCAGUGGGGAAUAUUGGACAAUGGGCGCAAGCCUGAUCCAGCCAUGCCGCGUGAGUGAUGAAGGCCCUAGGGUUGUAAAGCUCUUUUGUGCGGGAAGAUAAUGACGGUACCGCAAGAAUAAGCCCCGGCUAACUUCGUGCCAGCAGCCGCGGUAAUACGAAGGGGGCUAGCGUUGCUCGGAAUCACUGGGCGUAAAGGGUGCGUAGGCGGGUCUUUAAGUCAGGGGUGAAAUCCUGGAGCUCAACUCCAGAACUGCCUUUGAUACUGAAGAUCUUGAGUUCGGGAGAGGUGAGUGGAACUGCGAGUGUAGAGGUGAAAUUCGUAGAUAUUCGCAAGAACACCAGUGGCGAAGGCGGCUCACUGGCCCGAUACUGACGCUGAGGCACGAAAGCGUGGGGAGCAAACAGGAUUAGAAACCCGUGUAGUCC